CUCUCGUGGUAACAUCGCACAAUCACAAUAGCGGAACCAACAAAACAGUGAUGUGGUUGCAGCCGGGACUCUAAGAGCAGACGCACGUCGUUCAUGUAGCAACUUUGGACCACACGGGAAAGUGUAAAUCCAACGAAAAGUGGCUGUCCAACCAAGAUUUAUCUUCACGGCUGAAAGCGGUACCAGGUAGUGUGUACGAGGCACGGUGUAUUUUGUGCAAGAAAUGUUUCAAACUCGGCACGAUGGGAGUGAAGGCAGGGGAGUCACAUAUGUCAAUGUGGGUCAAAUGAGGGAGCUGGAGCUUUAUUCCGUGCUGUGUUCCCAGACUCUGACAUUGCCCACUCGUUUGCGUACGGUUCCGACCAGACGGCCUACAUCAGCUAGUUUGGAUUAGCCCCGUACAUUUCAGAGCAGCUUGUUGCGGAUGCUAACAAGGACGCGUUCGUUUUAAUGUUUGGCGAGAGCCUCAACCAGACCACGAAAACAAAACAACUGGAUCUGCAUAUCCGCUAUUGGUGCGAAGAUCACGUCCAGUCAAGAUAUUCGGGGUCGCAGUUGAUGGGACAUGGAACAGCUGAGGAUUUACUACGCCAUUUCAAAGAAGGUGCCAAGGACCUGGAUAGGCGUAAGCUGCUGUCCGUCUCCAUGGAUGAACCAAACGUUAAUUGGAAGUUCCUGGAGCUACUGCAGCGAGAACAUAUUGCAACUGAAGGAAUUUUGCCUGGAGACAAAAGAACUACAGACUCUUCACAACCUGCUCAAACUCUUGGUACAGGACCUCACCACACGGGUCAAGAAGGUUUCUGUCUCAUUUCUACUCUGAAGCUCACCUUCUCCUGCUCAAACUGUUGACAAAUGUUUCUGCUGCUCUACAGUCUGGUCUCCAGAACUUUCUAAAAACUCUCAAAGUCUCUUCUGCUGCAGGUUGCUUUGUAGAACUGUUCCAGAAAACCUCACUAAACCACAUGGAGGGGCCUCAAGAUAGUCGUCCAAAUGAAACCGUACAAAAACCAAACUAGCACAAGCCAAACGCUAAAGUCUCCUGCAGCCUACCAGAGAACCUCUGAGAACAGAGAAUCAGGACAGGAACUCUUACCUUCUGGACAACCAACGUUGGUUCAUAAACAAGAAUACAGAAUGUGUCUGACCAAAAACCUCUGAAGACUCACUACAGCCAAGAUAAAGACACAACUCAGCUGCACCAAAUCCACUAAUCACUGCACACAUUAGCACCAUGUGCUAACUGUGGCUAAAGAACCACAUUUACCAAGACAACUAUCCAGUACAAAGCCCUAAAACACACCAAGAAACACAUUAAAGACGAUUUUACUGCUGGAAGCUGCAAGCCAACGCCUAAAGAACAAACUGAAGCAAUGGAGCCAAACACAGCUCAGUGGUGAAGAGAAGCAGAGGAAAUGUUUGGCUGCAGCUAAAUAAAGCAGGAAGAGACUGAGCUGCUCAGGUGUUCCUGAUAACGCCUAGCAGCCACCUGGACAGCCAAUAGGAACACAGCUUACUGGAAGUCCAGAGGGCUGGGUUAGUGAAGUAAAUUUAGUUUAAAAUUGAGGCAGAAAGUUAAUAAAGAAAGUUGAAAACCACCUUCUGCUACCUGAAAUCUCUGAGUUUUCACACAAAGAACACCUGAACAUGUCAAACUGGUUCCAUAGUAGAACCCUCAUUGUAAAAACGUCAUAGUAUGGUGUGUUGCUCAAAAAACAUUACCACCCGG
ensembl:lncRNA